rnacentral:rRNA from 1 species
GAUGAACCGCGUAGGCGAUAGGCUUAACACAUGACAAGUCGAGGGGGUAACAGUGGGAGUAGCUUGCUACUUCUGAUGGCGACCGGCGGAUGGGCGAGUAACGCGUAUGCAACUUGCCUCUUAGUGGGGAAUAACCCCGGAGAAAUCCGGACUAAUACCGCAUACACUUAGUUAUCCGCAUGGAUGAUUAAGGAAAGAUUUAUUGCUAAGAGAUAGGCAUGCGUUCCAUUAGUUGGUUGGUGAGGUAACGGCUCACCAAGGCAUCGAUGGAUAGGGGAGCUGAGAGGCUUAUCCCCCCACAUUGGGACUGAGAUACGGCCCAA